AGAGUUUGAUCCUGGCUCAGAAUGAACGCUGGCGGCGUGCAUAACACAUGCAAGUCGAACGAGAAACCCCGGCUUGCCGGGGGAGUAAAGUGGCGAACGGGUGAGUAACGCGUGGGUAACCUGCCCCUGAAUCUGGAAUAACCCGCCGAAAGGCGGACUAAUACCGGAUGUCAUCUCGGAGUCGCAUGGCACUGAGAUGAAAGAUGACCUCUUCACGAAAGUUGUCGUUCAGGGAGGGGCUCGCGUACCAUUAGCUAGUUGGUAGGGUAAUGGCCUACCAAGGCGACGAUGGUUAGCUGGUCUGAGAGGAUGAUCAGCCACACUGGAACUGAAACACGGUCCAGACUCCUAUGGGAGGCAGCAGUGAGGAAUUUUGCGCAAUAGGGGAAACCCUGACGCAGCAACGCCGCGUGAGUGAAGAAGGCCUUCGGGUCGUAAAGCUCUGUCAAGCGGGACAAAGUCCUGUGAGUGAAUAGCUCGCAGGAGUGAUGGUACUGCUAGAGGAAGCACCGGCUAACUCCGUGCCAGCAGCCGCGGUAAUACGGAGGGUGCAAGCGUUGUUCGGAAUUACUGGGCGUAAAGCGCGUGCAGGCGGUUCGGUAAGUCAGAUGUGAAAGCCCUGGGCUCAACCCAGGAAGUGCAUUUGAAACUGCCGAGCUAGAGUAUGGGAGAGGAGAGUGGAAUUCCCAGUGUAGAGGUGAAAUUCGUAGAUAUUGGGAGGAACACCCGUGGCGAAGGCGACUCUCUGGACCAAUACUGACGCUGAGACGCGAAAGCGUGGGGAGCAAACAGGAUUAGAUACCCUGGUAGUCCACGCCGUAAACGAUGAGAACUAGGUGUAGCGGGUAUUGACCCCUGCUGUGCCGUAGCUAACGCAUUAAGUUCUCCGCCUGGGGAGUACGGCCGCAAGGCUAAAACUCAAAGGAAUUGACGG
rnacentral:rRNA from 1 species